UAGAGGGGAAAUUAAUUUGUAUCUGUAAGUAACGAUAAACCAUUGCUUACUAAAAAUGAUUUUGAGCGGAAUUCAGUUGAUAGUGAUACUUUGUCAACAAUAUAUAUGCCAUAUUAUGGUAAAAUAAUUAUUUAGGCAUUAUUUAUUUGCAUUAAUAAUAAAUAAUAUUUGUUUAAUAUUUUACCGAGUUUUUCGUUUUCCUGCGUUUUUCCUGGUUUUUAAUGUUUGCUGGGAAAACUAUUAAGAAAAUCGAAAAUGAUGGCCUUAAAGUACCACCCCAAGAAAAUUUACUUUCAGAAAAGGCUCUACAUCGGAGUUAGCUUUCCAGUAGAAAAAGUAUUCACAUAAAAAAAAAA